AUAAGUUAUUUGCAACUUAUAUUAAUCCCUUUCCACUUUGCAGGUGCGAGUGCUGCCUUGUAAUGGCAGUAGCCUACUCUUUUUAUACCCCCGCUUUAAAAAAGGGGGUAUACUGUUUUACCUCUGUCUGUCAGUCCGUCCGUCAGUCCGUCCGUCAGUCAGUCCGUCCCAUGAAACUUUCGUCACAUUUUUCUCAGGAACUACACAUCCACCCUUUCUGUAAUUUGGUAUCAACAUUUAUAUAUGUCAGCCAUACCGUGUGAUGCGUUUUCAGAUUCAUCACUUGACAACUUCCUGUUUACCGAACACUUGUCUGAUUUUACACAUGAUAGCCAAGUUGAAAAUUUUCGUCACAUUUUUCUCAGGAACUACAAUACAAGGAUUUCUGAAAUUUGGUUUCAGGAUUUAUAUAAGUCAGGUAUACCGUGUGAUGCAUUUUUCAGAUUCAUCACUCGACAACUUCCUGUUUACCGAACACUUGUAUGAUUUUACACAUGAUAACCAAGUUAAAAAUUUUCGUCACAUUUUUCUCAGGAACUACAAUACAAGGAUUUCUGAAAUUUGGUUUCAGGAUUUUUAUAAGUCAGCUAUACCGUGUGAUGCGUUUUCAGAUUCAUCACUCGACAACUUCCUGUUUACCGAACACUUCCAUAUUUUUACACUAUUAAUAUUAUCCACUUGCGGCGGGGGUAUCAUCAGUGAGCAGUAGCUCGCAGUUUCACUUGUUUGAAAUCUACAAGGGUGUCUUUUUACGUGCAAGAGAUAUGUCUCUCUCUUAACAUUGGUCAGCCAUUUAUCCUACCCUUCCAACGGACUAUCAUCAUUUCUUAAAACCAU
rnacentral:lncRNA from 1 species